UGAUUUUUUUUAAUAGAGCGUUAAAGUUUUGCGAAGCCAGGGGGCGGGGUUACUUGAUUGACAGUCUGGUCUGGAAUGAUUGACAGGUCCUAUGGAGGAGGAAGCAGAGACUCUGCUCUCCUCGUUUGGAUUAAUUCUGAUAUAAUAACUGUUGGUUUAUUUAUCGGUGGAGCAGCAGAACCUUUUCCACAGACAGUUUUCCUGCCCGUUGGCUUGUUUUAACCAGUUUUCUGCCUUUGGCUGAUUCUACCAGCAGACACUGAAAGGACUCUGAUUGUUCAGUCCCUCUCUAUCUCCCCACACAUCCACCAACCACUGGAACACAUCUCCAAAGUUCUGUUGGGCCAGCUCAGCUUCCCCUCAGAAGAAGUUCCACCAGAUGAAGGAGCCUUUUGAGAGGCAGUUGGCAUCGUGAUUGGACUGUACUUUGUUCUGUUCCAAUCCAGCUUCAGCUCCAGAGACGGCAGGCGGGACGAGUCAACGGAGGCCGGGUGGACGAAGGCAUGCAGCAGAGUACAAUCCAGAAAACAACAGAGGAGGAAUGCAGCGGCUCAGUAUAGCCUUCGGUCCCUCUCUAUCUCCCCACACAUCCACCAACCACUGGAACACAUCUCCAAAGUUCUGCCGGGCCAGCUCAGCUUCCCCUCAGAAGAAGUGCCGCCACCAGCCAGAUGAAGGAGCCUUUUGAGAGGCAGCUGGCAUCGUGAUUGGACUGUACUUUGGUCUGUUCCAAUCCAGCUUCAGCUCCAGAGACGGCAGGCGGGACGAGUCAACGGAGGCCUGGUGGACGAAGGCAUGCAGCUGAGUACAAUCCAGAAAACAACAGAGGAGGAGUGCAACGGCUCAGUAUAGCCUUUGACCAAAGAACUACAGACUCUUCACAACCUGCUCAAACUCUUGGUACAGGACCUCACCACACGGGUCAAGAAGGUUUCUGUCUCAUUUCUACUCUGAAGCUCACCUUCUCCUGCUCAAACUGCUGACAAAUGUUUCUGCUGCUCUAAAGUCUGCUCUCCAGAACUUCCUAAAAACUCUCAAAGUCUCUUCUGCUGCAGGCUGCUUUGUAGAACUGUUCCAGAAAACCUCACUAAACCACAUGGAGGAGCCUCAAGAUAGUCGUCCAAAUGAAACCAUACAAAAACCAAACUAGCACAACCCAAACGCUAAAGUCUCCUGCAGCCUACCAGAGAACCUCUGAGAACAGAGAAUCAGGACAGGAACUCUUACCUUCUGGACAACCAACGUUGGUUCACAAACACACAGAAUGUGUCUGACCAAAAACCUCUAAACACUCCCUACAGCCAAGAUAAAGACACAACUCAGCUGUACCAAAUCCACUAAUCACUGCACACAUAACUGUGGCUAAAGAACCACAUUUAC